rnacentral:rRNA from 1 species
GAUGAACGCUGGCGGCGUGCCUAAUACAUGCAAGUCGAGCGAACAGACGAGGAGCUUGCUCCUCUGACGUUAGCGGCGGACGGGUGAGUAACACGUGGAUAACCUACCUAUAAGACUGGGAUAACUUCGGGAAACCGGAGCUAAUACCGGAUAAUAUAUUGAACCGCAUGGUUCAAUAGUGAAAGACGGUUUUGCUAUCACUUAUAGAUGGAUCCGCGCCGCAUUAGCUAGUUGGUAAGGUAACGGCUUACCGAGGCAACGAUGCGUAGCCGACCUGAGAGGGUGAUCGGCCACACUGGAACUGAGACACGGUCCAGACUCCUACGGGAGGCAGCAGUAGGGAAUCUUCCGCAAUGGGCGAAAGCCUGACGGAGCAACGCCGCGUGAGUGAUGAAGGUCUUCGGAUCGUAAAACUCUGUUAUUAGGGAAGAACAAAUGUGUAAGUAACUAUGCACGUCUUGACGGUACCUAAUCAGAAAGCCACGGCUAACUACGUG